GUCCACGCCGUAAACGAUGAUAACUAGCUGUCCGGGCACUUGGUGCCUGGGUGGCGCAGCUAACGCAUUAAGUUAUCCGCCUGGGGAGUACGGUCGCAAGAUUAAAACUCAAAGGAAUUGACGGGGGCCUGCACAAGCGGUGGAGCAUGUGGUUUAAUUCGAAGCAACGCGCAGAACCUUACCAGCCUUUGACAUCCCGCGCUACAUUCAGAGAUGAAUGGUUCCCUUCGGGGACGCGGUGACAGGUGCUGCAUGGCUGUCGU
rnacentral:rRNA from 1 species